rnacentral:rRNA from 1 species
CAGCCGCCGCGGGAAAACGGAGGGUGCAAGCGUUAAUCGGAAUUACUGGGCGUAAAGCGUGCGCAGGCGGUUAUAUAAGACAGAUGUGAAAUCCCCGGGCUCAACCUGGGACCUGCAUUUGUGACUGUAUAGCUAGAGUACGGUAGAGGGGGAUGGAAUUCCGCGUGUAGCAGUGAAAUGCGUAGAUAUGCGGAGGAACACCGAUGGCGAAGGCAAUCCCCUGGACCUGUACUGACGCUCAUGCACGAAAGCGUGGGGAGCAAACAAGAUUAGAUACCCCCGUAGUCCCUGUCUCUUAUAC